rnacentral:lncRNA from 13 species
AUGGCAGAGACCGAAGCUGGUGUAGUGCCUGUUGAUUUGGGAUUUGGUCUCUCUCAGGGAGAAAUCUCCAGCUCUGGUCCCCCACCAGCAGCAGAGGGAACUGUGGAGUCAGCUUUACCCUCUGUCACCAUGGAGGAGCUACCCUCCACCUCACCAUCAACACCUUGGCCAGCACCAACAGUGCCACCCCAACCCAUCACCUCCCGUCCUGCACCAGCUCACUCUGGCUCUGCUCCCCAACCCAUCACCUCCCGUCCUGCACCAGCUCACUCAAUCCACUCUCAAUCAAUGAAUCAAAUUUAUUUUAUAAAGCCCUUUUUACAUCAGCAGUUGUCACAAAGUGCUUUACAGAUACCCAGCCUAAAAUCCCAAAUAGCAAGCAAUGCAGAUGCACUCUCUGGCACCGCACCCCAACCCAUCACCUCCUGUCCUGCACCAGCUCAUUCCAUCCACUCUGGCUUUGCUCCCCAACCCAUUACCUCCUGUCCUGCACCAGCUCAUUCCAUCCACUCUGGCUUUGCUCCCCAACCCAUUACCUCCUGUCCUGCACCAGCUCAUUCCAUCCACUCUGACUCUACACCCCAACCCAUCACGUCUGGCUGGACACCACAAGGCCCCCAAGCCAUUCUGCUCCAACAAAUCCUGGACACACAAACGCAACAAAUCCAUGUUACACAGACCGCCCAACACAUCCACCAAGCUCUUUAUGAUUUAUUAGAAAAAGCACAUGAAACACAGAAGGCACACCUGGAUGUGGAGAAGAACCGGCUCCAGCUGGAUAGAGAGCGCUUGAGGGUGGAGACAGAGCGCCUGCAGGUGGAGAGGGAGCGCCUCAAGAUGGAGAAGGAUCGCCUGGGGGAAGGGGAGGCGCUUCGGCAGCUCUCUGUCUCUGGGUCAGUCGCCCUAGAACACCAGACGCCUGUGAGUUCAAGAACUGCCAGUGCCUCAGCCACCCUUCCUCUGGGAACACCAUCAGCCUCCAUGUCCAGUCCCCUCACAUUAAUAUCACCUACUGCACCACACUUUGAUUCCCCAUUCCCAUUACCGGUAAUCACAACCCAUUCCACCCAGCCAUCACAAACCAGCCCUGCCCCAACCUCUCCUACCUUAACCAGCCCUGCCCCAACCUCUCCUACCUUAACCAGCCCUGCCCCAACCUCUCCUACCUUAACCAGCCCUGCCCCAACCUCUCCUACCUUAACCGUUCCUGCCCACUCUCUCAUCCCUCCAAUCUCCAGAUCUGUUAAACGGCGAGUUCAGGAGACAGUCCGGCCUUGGCCUGCACCCACUGCUAAGAAUCAAAAACAUCAAUAAACAAAUAAUGUAACAAGUUUAUUUUCUUACAGCCUCUUCACACUUACUACACAUUACUCACAUGUAAUCUUGCGUACUUGCUACGUAGAGAGAGUGGAAGGAUGAUGGGUCCUCCGGAUGUUUAGUUUUCCAGUUCUGUGUAACUGUUCUGUUAGCAACCCUGAUAUGUUAGCAACCCUGAUCUGUUAGCAACCCUGAUCUGUUAGCAACCCUGUUCUGUUAGCACGUAGUGAGUCACUCAGUCAUGGAGCAGGAGAGGAGGAUCGGGCUGCCCGGGAGGAAAGGGGACAGUUGGAGUCGAAGGGAGGAGAGUCGGGUUGAAAAGGCAGUCAAGAGACAGAAGGGAUGAUUUCACAGAAGGAAGAGUAGUGGGAGAGAAGAGUAGUGGGAGAGAGCGAAGAUUGCAUUGGUGGUCUCAUUUUGUGAGCUUGGGUGGCCUAAACACUUUGCGCCUGAGCCGAACAGUCAGAGCGGGUCUCACUGACUUUGAAUGUGAAUUUGCGCCAGCUCAUCCAACCAGAAAAGCAGGCUGUUCCAUCUUGGUAAGGGGUCUGGCCGUUGCCCACUGGUCAUCCAAACUCUCAAUAUAAAUGAUUGACAACAAUUGUGCAAUUUUUCAUUUAUUUUAAAUACAGGCUCAUGGGCAGCCGGCCGUGUCAUUUAUUUUAUACACACAAUGCAUUCGGAAAGUAUUGAGAUCCCUUGACUCUUCCCACAUUUUGUUGCAGCCUCCAAAAAUGUAUUAAAUAUUGUUUUCCCCUCAAUCUACACACAAUACCCUAUAAUGACACAGCGAAAACAGGUUGUUUCUAAAAUAAAAUCAUCUGUAAUACCUUAUUUAGUAUUCAGACCCUUUGCAUCAUGUUUCCAUCCAUUUUUUUUUAGAAACAUCAAGGAUGAAGUCCACCUGUGGUAAAUUCAAUUGAUUGGACAUGAUUUGGGAAGGCACACACCGGUCUAUACAAGGUCCCACAGUAGAUGUCAGAGCAAAAACUAAGACAUGCGGUUGAAGGAAUUGUCCGUAGAGCUCUGAGACAGGAUUGUGUUGAGGAACAGAUCUGGGGAAGGGUACCAAACACAUUUAUGCAGCAUUGAAGAUCCCCAAGAACACUGCCUCCGUCAUUCUUAAAUGGGAGACGUUUGCAACCACCAAGACUCUUCCUAGACCUGGCCGCCUGCCCAAACUGAGCAAUCGGGGUAGAAGGGCCUUGGUCAGGGAGGUGACCAAGAACCCGAUGGUCACUUACAGAGCUUCUCUGUGGAGAUGGUUGUCCUUCUGGAAGGUUCUCCCAUCUCUGUAGCACUCCACUAAUCAGGCAAUCCUGUCUCAGAGCUCUAUGGACAAUUCCUUCAACCACAUGUCUUAGUUUUUGCUCUGACAUCUACUGUGGGACCUUGUAUAGACCGGUGUGUGCCUUCCCAAAUCAUGUCCAAUCAAUUGAAUUUACCACAGGUGGACUUCAUCCUUGAUGUUUAUGGUUGAGUGGCCAGAUGGAAGCCAAUCUUCAGUAAAAGGCACAUGACAGCCAGCUUGGAGUUUGCCAAAUGGCACCUAAAGGACUCUCAGACCAUGAGAAACUACAUUCUCUGGUCUGAUGAAACCAAGAUUGAACUCUAACUUUAAUGCCAAGUAUCACGUCUGGAGGAAAUCUGGCACCAUCCCUACGGUGAAGCGCGGUGGUGGCAGCAUUAUGCUGUGGGGUGUUUUUCAGAGACAUGGACUGGGAGUCGAGGGAAAGAUGAACGGAGCAAAGUACAGGGAGAUCCUUGAAAACCUGCACCAGAUUGUUCAGGACCUCAGACUGCUGCGAAGGUUCACCUUCCAAGAGGACAACAACCCUAAGCACACAGCCAAGACAACGCAGGAGUGUCUUCGUGAGAGGUAUCCGAAUGUACUUGAGUAGUCCAGACAUGAACCCGAUCAAACAUCUCUGGAGAGACCUGAAAAUAGCUGUGCAGUGACGCCCCACACCCAACCUGACAGAGCUUGAGAGGAUCUGCAGAGAAGAAUGGGAGAAGCUCCCCAAAUACACGUAUGCCAAGCUUAUAGCGUCAUACAGAAGAAAACCCAAGGCUGUAAUCGCUGCCGAAGGUGUUUCAACAAAGUACCGAAUAAAGGGCAUGAAUACUUAUUUAAAAUGUAAUAUUUCCGUUUUUUUAUUUUCAUAAAUUUGCAAACAUUUCUACAAAUGUUUUUACUUUCAUUAGAGGGUAUUGUGUGUAGAUUGAUAAGGGGGAAACAAUUUAAUCCAUUUUAGAAUAAGGUUGUAACGUAACAAAAUGUGGAGAAAUUCGAGUCUGAAUACUUUCCGAAAGCACUUUAUCGGUUUGGGCUUCUUGUGGUCAAUUUGCAGUCGUUCCGGCCCCCUGACCAUCUGCUCAAUAAAUAAAUUGUCCCGUGUCCGCAUCUAGUUGAUGAUCCAUGAUGUAUGCCUUUGCAUCUGUAAUUUAAAGAACACUCACACAGAAUGUCAGCACUAUUGUGUUGAUUGAUUGAUUCCAGGGAAAAUAUUUUUGUUUAAAAAAGCCUAGGUUUCCUAGUCACCCGAAGUGUGACUAAAAACCAAAAUGUUCGCGCAUUCAGAUUUUCUCAAAACAUAAAUAAAUGGGCGUAUUUUAGGCUAUAAAACAUGACGUUUCCCCUGGCCAUGUCCAGAUGGGUUCAGAGUUCAGUCUUCUCUAGACUACCUGCAGCUCUGCUUGUUAUCCAGUGCUGGUCCUUGCCAUUCUGAGACUCAUUUUCGUUUCUGAAUAAAAGUAUAAAGUACGCAUUUUCCGGAUGUUGAAAUCAGGGUCAUUUUCGGUUCUGAAAAGUUGAAAAGACGUCAUUUUUAGAGGUCUAUGUUUGGGAUAAAUUAAGGCUGGUUCAGACCGAACAAAAUCUGAACCAAACUUCUAUGAUUUGUUCAGAUUUGGACUGCACAAAAAAAAGACAUCAGCUUCGGUCGGUGCGUAACAGCUACAAGAGGCCGUUCACACGGUCCCAGAAACCCCGGGACUGAGUGUCUUUAAUGUAUCAAGCAAGAUAUGGAGCCCUGCCCAUGUCUCCUUGCUUAAUAUUAAAGGUCGUCUUUUGUGCCUACAACUCAGUGCAACGAUUUCGAUGUUAAGGUAGACAUGUUUUAUUUAAUUUUUUAGAAACUUUCGUUUAAGGGAAUAGUUUAGCUCCCCUAUACUUUAGCAUAUCUAUUGAGACAUAUUGCAGACUUGUUGAAAAUGAUGUUCGUAAUUAAGUACAAACAUGAGUACAAAUCUUUCCAUAGUUUAACUCAGGAUGAAAAACAAGCUUUGCUUGAUUUUCCGUUACGUCAGUCCUUACCCGCCCUGCUGAUAAGGGUGGGUCGGUUGUACUCAUGGAUAGGACAGUUUGUGUAAAUGAGGGUCAUAGACAACUGCUUGACAACACCUUUUACAAGAAACUCAGAUCUUAGAUGGGUAUUUAAGUUCUGGUCAGAUCACCAACAACAAAAAAACAACUUUGUCUAUUCAUCAACACCUUAAAAUUGCCAUUUUCUAUACUUUGCCGAAAUUACACAAGAGUGUUACUUAUCCUCCAGGGCGCCCUAUUGUCUUAAAGGACACCAGCAGUAUGAUCUCUAUUAUUGCACCUCUUGAUCCUCUCCCUGAUAAUACUUUGUUAGUUACUUUUGAUGUGGAAUAUUCGUGUAUAAAGACUCGACACGGGGGCGAUAUUGAAGCUGUGGAACUUUUUCUUCUGCAACGUGACCCUAAUGAAUUACCUUCCAGUGCAUGCAUUAUAACAUUGGCUGAAAUAGUACUCACACACAACUACUUAAUGUUUCUAAAUAAUUUCUUUAUUCCGACGAAGGGUACUGCUAUGGAAUCCCCUAUGGCUCCUAACUAUGCUGAUUUGUAUGUGGUUUACAUGGAGAAAGUCAAUUUUCAAACCUCUCAACAACAACAAAAAUAUUGCCUAAAAUCAUUUGGAAACGGUACUUUUGAUAUUUCUGUUCUCUGGAAGGGUGAUGCAAAACAGCUCCAUGCAUUUCUUAACUCUUGUUCUGAUCACCGUGGCCUCCAACUGCUCUUAAAUGCAAGUAAAACUAAAUGCAUCACUAUUCUGGACGGUUCUGACUUAGAAUAUGUGGACAACUACAAAUACCCAGGUGUCUGGUUAGACUGUAAACUCUCCUUCCAGACCCAUAUCAAACAUCUCCAAUCCAAAAUUAAAUCAAGAAUCGGCUUCCUGUUUCGCAACAAAGCAUCCUUCCCUCAUGCUGCCAAACAUACCCUCGUAAAACUGACUAUCCUCGUCUUCGACGAUGUCAUUUACAAACUAGCCUCCAACACUCUACUCAGCAAAUUGAAUGCAGUCUGUCACAGUGCCAUCCGUUUUGUUACCAAAUCACCUUAUACCACCCACCACUGCAACCUGUAUGCUCUAGUCGGCUGGCCCUCGCUACAUAUUUGUCGCCAUACACACUGGCUCCAGGUCAUCUAAGUCUAUGCUAGGUAAAGCUCCGCCUUAUCUCAGUUCACUGGUCACGAUAACAACAUCCAUCCGUAGCACACGUUCCAGCAGGGGCCUGUUGCACAAAAGUAGAAUUAAGACAUCCGGGAUAAAUGACUCAGCUGAGCUCAAUGAAGCCAAAACAUGUGCGUCCAGGCUUAAUUGGUUGCACAAAGACCAAGCCAGGAUGAGCAGACACGGAUUCAUUAAGCCAGGUGAAACCAAUCCUGGAUAGGUGCGCGCUCACGGCUCACUCAAAUAGACCCCGCCACAGAUCACAGAUUAACUGAUUUACCAUGGCAACUAGAGCCGCGUACUUUUCCCCGUCGGAAGCACAAAUCCUCAUGGAGGCAUACGAGGAGGUAAAAGAUAUAAUUAAGAAGAAAGGCAACACCGCCACAGUGAUAAAGCAAAGAGAAAAAGCGUGGCAAAGUAUUGCAGACCGCCUGAAUGCGUAAGUAGUGCACAAUUACACACUCACCGCUCCGCUGAAACAUCACAAUU